GGGAACGUACCUUUUGGUUCGGAACAACACAGGGAAACUUGUGCUAAUACCGAAUGUGCUCUUCGGAGGAAAGAUUUAUCGCCAUUAGAGCGGCCCGCGUUGGAUUAGGUAGUUGGUGUGGUAAAGGCGCACCAAGCCUACGAUCCAUAGCUGGUCUGAGAGGAUGAUCAGCCACACUGGGACUGAGACACGGCCCAGACUCCUACGGGAGGCAGCAGUGGGGAAUCUUGCGCAAUGGGCGAAAGCCUGACGCAGCCAUGCCGCGUGAAUGAUGAAGGUCUUAGGAUUGUAAAAUUCUUUUAGCAGGGACGAUAAUGACGGUACCUGCAGAAAAAGCCCCGGCUAACUUCGUGCCAGCAGCCGCGGUAAUACGAAGGGGGCUAGCGUUGCUCGGAAUUACUGGGCGUAAAGGGAGCGUAGGCGGGUUACCAAGUUGGGGGUGAAAGCCCAGGGCUCAACCCUGGAAUUGCCUUCAAAACUGGUAACCUUGAGGAUGGAAGAGGUAAGUGGAACUCCGAGU
rnacentral:rRNA from 1 species